UGGGGAAUAUUGCACAAUGGGCGCAAGCCUGAUGCAGCCAUGCCGCGUGUAUGAAGAAGGCCUUCGGGUUGUAAAGUACUUUCAGCGGGGAGGAAGGUGUUGUGGUUAAUAACCACAGCAAUUGACGUUACCCGCAGAAGAAGCACCGGCUAACUCCGUGCCAGCAGCCGCGGUAAUACGGAGGGUGCAAGCGUUAAUCGGAAUUACUGGGCGUAAAGCGCACGCAGGCGGUCUGCCAAGUCGGAUGUGAAAUCCCCGGGCUCAACCUGGGAACUGCAUCCGAAACUGGCAGGCUUGAGUCUUGUAGAGGGGGGUAGAAUUCCAGGUGUAGCGGUGAAAUGCGUAGAGAUCUGGAGGAAUACCGGUGGCGAAGGCGGCCCCCUGGACAAAGACUGACGCUCAGGUGCGAAAGCGUGGGGAGCAAACA
rnacentral:rRNA from 1 species